rnacentral:rRNA from 1 species
GACGAACGCUGGCGGCGUGCUUAACACAUGCAAGUCGAACGGAAAGGCCCUGCUUUUGUGGGGUGCUCGAGUGGCGAACGGGUGAGUAACACGUGAGUAACCUGCCCUUGACUUUGGGAUAACUUCAGGAAACUGGGGCUAAUACCGGAUAGGAGCUCCUGCUGCAUGGUGGGGGUUGGAAAGUUUCGGCGGUUGGGGAUGGACUCGCGGCUUAUUAGCUUGUUGGUGGGGUAGUGGCUUACCAAGGCUUUGACGGGUAGCCGGCCUGAGAGGGUGACCGGCCACAUUGGGACUGAGAUACGGCCCAGACUCCUACGGGAGGCAGCAGUGGGGAAUAUUGCACAAUGGGCGGAAGCCUGAUGCAGCAACGCCGCGUGCGGGAUGACGGCCUUCGGGUUGUAAACCGCUUUCGCCUGUGACGAAGCGUGAGUGACGGUAAUGGGUAAAGAAGCACCGGCUAACUACGUGCCAGCAGCCGCGGUGAUACGUAGGGUGCGAGCGUUGUCCGGAUUUAUUGGGCGUAAAGGGCUCGUAGGUGGUUGAUCGCGUCGGAAGUGUAAUCUUGGGGCUUAACCCUGAGCGCGCUUUCGAUACGGGUUGACUUGAGGAAGGUAGGGGAGAAUGGAAUUCCUGGUGGAGCGGUGGAAUGCGCAGAUAUCAGGAGGAACACCAGUGGCGAAGGCGGUUCUCUGGGCCUUUCCUGACGCUGAGGAGCGAAAGCGUGGGGAGCGAACAGGCUUAGAUACCCUGGUAGUCCACGCUGUAAACGGUGGGUACUAGGUGUGGGGUCCAUUCCACGGGUUCCGUGCCGUAGCUAACGCUUUAAGUACCCCGCCUGGGGAGUACGGCCGCAAGGCUAAAACUCAAAGGAAUUGACGGGGCCCCGCACAAGCGGCGGAGCAUGCGGAUUAAUUCGAUGCAACGCGUAGAACCUUACCUGGGUUUGACAUGGAUCGGGAGUGCUCAGAGAUGGGUGUGCCUCUUUUGGGGUCGGUUCACAGGUGGUGCAUGCCUGUCGUCAGCUCGUGUCGUGAGAUGUUGGGUUAAGUCCCGCAACGAGCGCAACCCUUGUUCACUGUUGCCAGCACGUUAUGGUGGGGACUCAGUGGAGACCGCCGGGGUCAACUCGGAGGAAGGUGGGGAUGACGUCAAGUCAUCAUGCCCCUUAUGUCCAGGGCUUCACGCAUGCUACAAUGGCUGGUACAGAGAGUGGCGAGCCUGUGAGGGUGAGCGAAUCUCGGAAAGCCGGUCUCAGUUCGGAUUGGGGUCUGCAACUCGACCUCGUGAAGUCGGAGUCGCUAGUAAUCGCAGAUCAGCAACGCUGCGGUGAAUACGUUCCCGGG